UACGGGGGGGGCAAGCGUUGUUCGGAAUUACUGGGCGUAAAGGGCUCGUAGGCGGCCAACUAAGUCGGAUGUGAAAUCCCCAGGCUUAACCUGGGAACUGCAUCCGAUACUGGAUGGCUUGAAUCCGGGAGAGGGAUGCAGAAUUCCAGGUGUAGCGGUGAAAUGCGUAGAUAUCUGGAGGAAUACCGGUGGCGAAGGCGGCAUCCUGGACCGGCAUUGACGCUGAGGCGCGAAAGCCAGGGGAGCAAAGCGGG
rnacentral:rRNA from 1 species